ACAAAACACAUUAUUAUGAGUUUAAAGAAAAAAGGACCACUUCAAUUACUUUGAGAGAGGGAUAGAACAGUGGAAUUUAAGAAACAUCGGCCCACACCUCAAUAAAGUUUUGAAACGAGGAUGACAGUUUCUACAGUAAGUUUUCUUAUUAUGCCAACCUGCCCAUAAGGCCCAAAAUCCUCUACCUUUCUUUGUAUACUUCCUAUGUGUGUCAUUGAAACUACUUGGUUAACAUCUUGUGUCUAUAUAG
rnacentral:lncRNA from 1 species